rnacentral:rRNA from 1 species
AUUGAACGCUGGCGGCAUGCUUUACACAUGCAAGUCGAACGGUAACAGGCCGCAAGGUGCUGACGAGUGGCGAACGGGUGAGUAAUGCAUCGGAACGUGCCCAGUCGUGGGGGAUAACGCAGCGAAAGCUGUGCUAAUACCGCAUACGAUCUGUGGAUGAAAGCGGGGGACCGAAAGACCUCGCGCGAUUGGAGCGGCCGAUGUCAGAUUAGGUAGUUGGUGGGGUAAAGGCUCACCAAGCCAACGAUCUGUAGCUGGUCUGAGAGGACGACCAGCCACACUGGGACUGAGACACGGCCCAGACUCCUACGGGAGGCAGCAGUGGGGAAUUUUGGACAAUGGGCGCAAGCCUGAUCCAGCAAUGCCGCGUGCAGGAAGAAGGCCUUCGGGUUGUAAACUGCUUUUGUACGGAGCGAAAAGGCUCUCUCUAAUACAGGGGGCUCUUGACGGUACCGUAAGAAUAAGCACCGGCUAACUACGUGCCAGCCGCCGCCGUAAGAC